AGUGAACGCUGGCGGCGUGCUUAACACAUGCAAGUCGAACGAGAACGGAUUAUAGCUUGCUAUAAUUGUCAGCUAAGUGGCGCACGGGUGAGUAAUGUAUAGGUAAUAUGCCUCUUACUAAGGGAUAACAAAUGGAAACGUUUGCUAAUACCUUAUACUCCUUAUUAACAGAAGUUAAUAAGGGAAAGAUUUAUUGGUAAGAGAUUAGCCUGUAUUGUAUCAGUUAGUUGGUUGGGUAAGGGCUUACCAAGACUAUGACACAUAACUGGUUUGAGAGGAUGAUCAGUCACACUGGAACUGAGACACGGUCCAGACUCCUACGGGAGGCAGCAGUGGGGAAUAUUGCACAAUGGACGAAAGUCUGAUGCAGCAACGCCGCGUGGAGGAUGACACAUUUCGGUGCGUAAACUCCUUUUAUAUGAGAAGAUAAUGACGGUAUUAUAUGAAUAAGCACCGGCUAACUCCGUGCCAGCCGCCGCAGUAA
rnacentral:rRNA from 1 species